UAGGUCUUAUGUUUAAGUCUUUAAUCCAUGUGGAGUUAAUUUUAGUGUAAGGUAUCAGGAAGGGGUACAGUUUCUGCUUUCUGCACAUGGCUAGCCAGAUAACUAUAUUUUCUAAAUGGAAAUACAGUACUACUAUAACAAUGCUAUAAAUGCAAUGGUAUCUUUUGUUUCCAAAGUUAAUACACCAGAGUGAUGCAAAAAUAAUGGUAAGAGCGAGAUCAUUUUGUGGCAAAGUUAUCUCUGGGUAAACUCUGCAGCCGCAAACGCUGCCAGUGAAUAUUCAUGGCAAACAGGGAAAAGGUUAUCAAUAUCAGGAAUGAGAGGAGGAUAACUACAGCUCUUUAUGCAAGACAAAGAGUGCAAGGAAAUAUUAUGAAUAACAUGUCAAAUAAUUUGAUAACUUAGAUGAACGAAGUCCUUAUAUAACACAAAUUAGCAAAACUGUCCGAAGAAAUAGAAAACCUAAACAUCUCUACAUCAUCUUUAAAAAUGAAUUCAUAAUUAAAAAUAAAUGUUUCUACAAACAAAAGUCCUAGCACAGAUAGUCUCACUAGUGUGUCACACAUUCAAGAGAGAAGUAAUAUCAAUCUACGCAAACUCUUUCAGAAAAGAGAAGAGGUGGGAAGACUUGUGAGCCCCUUUUAUAAGGCUUAUAUUAUUGUCCUGAUAAAGCUAGAAAAAAUUCAAAAACCACAAGAAAACUAUAGACCAAUAACUCUCACAAACAUAGAUGUGACGAUCUUUAACAAAAUAUUAACAAAAUUCAGCAAUAUACAAAAAUGAUGUUAUGACUGAGUGAUGGAUUUAUUCCAUUAACUCAAGGUUGAUUUAACAUGAGAAAUCCGUUAAUUUAACUCACCAUAUUAAUAAAGGAGAAAACAGUAUCACCUCAAUAAAGUUAUCUGUCAAGGUUUGACACUUAGUCAAAUCUCCCAGCAAAGGAAGAAUACAAGGAAAUGUCUCAGUGUGAGAAAGGUUAUUAAUAAUCACUUAUAGCUAAUAUCACAGUAAUGCCGUAGGACCAAAUGCUUCCUCCUAAAGUUGAGAACAAGGCAAAGAUAACUGCUCUUCUCAUUCCUAUUCAUUAUGAAGUUCUAGUCAGUGCAGGAAAGCAAGAAAAGGCAGGCAAAACAGAAGUAAACUUUAUGUGUAGACUUUAAGAUCAUGUACAUAAAAAAUCCUAAUGGAACUGCAAAAAAUGGUAGAACUAGUGGGUGAAUUUAACAAUGUCUAGAUAUGAAAAUCAACUGUAUUCCAUAAACUAGCAGGAAAAUAACUGAAAAUUAAGAACAAUAUAUUUGUAAUAAGGAAAUGGUAACAGCCAAAUUAACAAAAUAGGAAGAAUAAUUAGAAUGACAAGGCUUUUCAACAACAAAAUCAAGACUAAGAAAAUUAGUAACACUAACCUAUACCUCAGAAGUGAAGGCAAAAUUGAAUUCAUUUUAAGGAAAACACAGAAUUUGACCAUUAUCAAAAUGACAUAAAAAGCAGAUAGUUCAUUUGUGUUGAUAUAAAGGAAUACCUGAAGCUAGAUAAUUUAUAAAGAAAAAAUGUAUAUUUGGCUUACAAUUCUGGUGGCUGGAAGAUUGGGCAUGAGGUGAAAGCCUCAGACUGCUUCCACUCAUGGUGGAAGGCAAAGGGGAGCUGGCAUGUGCAGACGUCACACGGCAAGAAAGGAAGCAAGGGAGAAAUGGCACCAGGCUCUUUGCUGCCUUGGGAACUAAUAGAGUGAGAGCUGACUCAUCCCAUCCUCCCAGUGAGGGCAUUAAUUCAUUCAUGAGGGACCUGUUCCCAUGACCCAAACACCUGCCAUUAGACCCCCCAGCAACACUGGGGAUCAGACUUCAACAUGAGAUUUGGAGAAACCAAAUUGUAGCAGAUAGAAAGCCAAAAACAAUUCAAUGAAAGUAAAAUUACAGCAGUUUCCACAAUACAUGUACGUUUAUAAUUCCCAAGGAAGAAAA